rnacentral:lncRNA from 1 species
UCUGAUUCAUGCAUUAAAUUACAGUUGGAAAUUUGAAUGAAAACAGCCUGGUUUCAUGCAUUUUCAUGGCAGCUCUUUGGCAGAAUUUUUAGGCAGUUGGCUGGCAAUUUUUGGACCAGAAAAUUGAGGCGGUUUGUUUGGCAGAUUUUGGGCCAUAAUUUAUGGCGGUUCUUGCAACAUUUUUCUCUAUAAAUAGGGGUGUUUACCAAGAGAAUUAAAAAAAGCCACAAUAGAGAGAGGGUAAGGCCACAAUAAAAGAGAGAUUCCUUCCC